CUUUUCCAUCAUUCCUCACAACAAAACAAGAGAAGAGACAGGCUCUUAUGAACUCAAGGUUGUCAAAUGUAGCUGAGAGUGACCUUGGACUUCUGAUCCUUCUGCUUCUACUGCCCGAGUGCUGGGAUUACAGGCAUUUGUCAUCAAGCCCAGUUUACGAUAUGCUGUGGACCUAACUGAUUUGUGUGUGCUUAGUAAAUGCUCUACCAACUUCCAUUUUCUACCUUCCUGGGCACCUGGCUGCCAUUUCCUAAAUGCCAGUGUGAUUAAUGAGUGCCAGAGAUAGCAGAUGGGAAGAGACUAUUCCUUGGCUACUGCUACAUCAAUAAGACAAUGACAUGAGAGCUGCUAAGGUGACUCAGCAGGUAAAGUCACUUACCUUACCAUGAAGUUUGAUAACCUUCAUGAUCCCCAGGAC